rnacentral:tRNA from 1 species
GCCCGGCUAGCUCAGUCAGUAGAGCAUGAGACUCAUAAUCUCAGGAUUGUGGGUUCAAGCCCGACAUUGGGCA